CACGUAGGGCGCAAGCGUUGUCCGGAAUUAUUGGGCGUAAAGAGCUCGUAGGCGGUCUGUCGCGUCGGCUGUGAAAACCCGGGGCUCAACCCCGGGCCUGCAGUCGAUACGGGCAGACUAGAGUGUGGUAGGGGAGACUGGAAUUCCUGGUGUAGCGGUGGAAUGCGCAGAUAUCAGGAGGAACACCGGUGGCGAAGGCGGGUCUCUGGGCCAUAACUGACGCUGAGGAGCGAAAGCGUGGGUAGCGAACAGG
rnacentral:rRNA from 1 species